AUUGAACGCUGGCGGCAGGCCUAACACAUGCAAGUCGAACGCGUGGAGGACGGGUGAGUAAUGUCUGGGACACCGCGUGGUGGAGGGGGAUAACUACUGGAAAGGGUAGCUAAUACCACAAUACAUCAUAUGCGCCGAGAUGGGAUGAGCUUGUGGGGGGGGAAACGGCACACCAAGGCGACGCUCCCUAGCUGGUCUGAGAGGAUGACCAGCCACACUGGAACUGAGACACGGUCCAGACUCCUACGGGAGGCAGCAGUGGGGAAUAUUGCACAAUGGGCGCAAGCCUGAUGCAGCCAUGCCGCGUGUAUGAAGAAGGCCUUCGGGUUGUAAAGUACUUUCAGCGGGGAGGCGUUACCCGCAGAAGAAGCACCGGCUAACUCCGUGCCAGCAGCCGCGGUAAUUC
rnacentral:rRNA from 1 species